rnacentral:rRNA from 1 species
UUUACAACUCCCAAACCCCUGUGAACAUACCUUAACGUUGCUUCGGCGGACAACCCUCGCCUUAAACCGCGAGGCCCCGCCAGAGGACCCAAACCCCAACUUUAUGUUUUAUCUUAAACCUACAUCUCUGAGUGGAUUUUAUAAAUCAAAUCAAAACUUUCAACAACGGAUCUCUUGGCUCUGGCAUCGAUGAAGAACGCAGCGAAAUGCGAUAAGUAAUGUGAAUUGCAGAAUUCAGUGAAUCAUCGAAUCUUUGAACGCACAUUGCGCCCGCCAGUAUUCUGGCGGGCAUGCCUGUUCGAGCGUCAUUAACACCCCUCAAGCCCCCGGGCUUGGUGUUGGGGAUCGGGAACGGCGGAUCGGCCCCCCGGGGCCGCGAAGCCCCCGUCCCCCAAAUGCAUCGGCGGUCACGCCGCGGCCUCUUGCGCGUAGUAGCUAACACCUCGCGCCGGAGCCCGUCGUGGUCCACGCCGCUAAACCCCCGACUUUUUACAAGUUGACCUCGAAUCAGGUAGGACUACCC